rnacentral:rRNA from 1 species
CCUACGGGAGGCAGCAGUGAGGAAUAUUGGUCAAUGGCCGGAAGGCUGAACCAGCCAUGCCGCGUGAAGGUCAGUGCCCUAUGGGCGUUAAACUUCUUUUGUGCGGGAGCAAUAAUGGUCACGUGGGGCCAGACGAGAGUACCGUACGAAUAAGCAUCGGCUAACUCCGUGCUAGCAGCCGAGGAAAGACGGGGGAUGCAAGCGUUAUCCGGGGUUACUGGGUUUAAAGGGUGCGUAGGCUGUGAGGUAAGUCAGCGGUGAAAUGCCCCCGCUCCACGGGGUGAGGUGCCAUUGAUACUGCCUUGCUGGAAUGCGGAUGCCGUGGGAGGAAUGUGUGGUGUAGCGGUGAAAUGCAUAGAUAUCACACAGAACACCGAUUGCGAAGGCAUCUCACGAAUCCGCGAUUGACGCUGAUGCACGAAAGCGUGGGUAUCAAACAGGAUUAGAUACCCCUGUAGUC